AUGCUGGAGAUAUCAGAAGUGCGAAUGCUGACGUAAGUAACGAUAAAGGGGGUGAAAAGCCUCCUCGCCGGAAGACCAAGGGUUCCUGUCCAACGUUAAUCGGGGCAGGGUGAGUCGACCCCUAAGGUGAGGCCGAAAGGCGUAAUCGAUGGGAAGCAGGUUAAUAUUCCUGCACGACUUGUAAUUGCGAUGGGGGGACGGAGAAGGCUAGGUGGGCCAGGCGACGGUUGUCCUGGUGAAAGUGCGUAGGUGGUGUUUCUAGGCAAAUCCGGAGACACAACACUGAGACACGAGACGAACGCACUACGGUGCGGAAGCCAUUGAUGCCCUGCUUCCAGGAAAAGCCUCUAAGCUUCAGAUUACAAGUCAUCGUACCCCAAACCGACACAGGUGGUCGGGUAGAGAAUACCAAGGCGCUUGAGAGAACUCGGGUGAAGGAACUAGGCAAAAUAGAACCGUAACUUCGGGAGAAGGUUCGCUCUUGAUGGUGAAGUCCCUUGCGGAUGGAGCUGUCGGGAGUCGCAGUGACCAGAUGGCUGGGACUGUUUAUCAAAAACACAGCACUCUGCAAACACGAAAGUGGACGUAUAGGGUGUGACACCUGCCCGGUGCCGGAAGGUUAAUUGAUGGGGUUAGCGCAAGCGAAGCUCUUGAUCGAAGCCCCGGUAAACGGCGGCCGUAACUAUAACGGUCCUAAGGUAGCGAAAUUCCUUGUCGGGUAAGUUCCGACCUGCACGAAUGGUGUAACCAUGGCCAUGCUGUCUCCACCCGAGACUCAGUGAAAUCGAAUUCGCCGUGAAGAUGCGGUGUACCCGCGGCUAGACGGAAAGACCCCGUGAACCUUUACUACAGCUUGGCACUGAACAUUGAACCUACAUGUGUAGGAUAGGUGGGAGGCUUUGAAGGCGUGACGCCAGUUGCGCUGGAGCCGUCCUUGAAAUACCACCCUUGUAUGUUUGAUGUUCUAACGCAGGGCCCUGAAUCGGGCUCGCGGACAGUGCCUGGUGGGUAGUUUGACUGGGGCGGUCUCCUCCCAAAGAGUAACGGAGGAGCACGAAGGUUGGCUAAUCCUGGUCGGACAUCAGGAGGUUAGUGCAAUGGCAUAAGCCAGCUUAACUGCGAGACGGACAGGUCGAGCAGGUACGAAAGUAGGUCAUAGUGAUCCGGUGGUUCUGAAUGGAAGGGCCAUCGCUCAACGGAUAAAAGGUACUCCGGGGAUAACAGGCUGAUACCGCCCAAGAGUUCAUAUCGACGGCGGUGUUUGGCACCUCGAUGUCGGCUCAUCACAUCCUGGGGCUGAAGUCGGUCCCAAGGGUAUGGCUGUUCGCCAUUUAAAGUGGUACGCGAGCUGGGUUCAGAACGUCGUGAGACAGUUCGGUCCCUAUCUGCCGUGGGCGUUGGAUGAUUGAAGGGAGUUGCUCCUAGUACGAGAGGACCGGAGUGAACGAACCUCUGGUGUUCGGGUUGUCACGCCAGUGGCACUGCCCGGUAGCUAAGUUCGGAAUCGAUAACCGCUGAAAGCAUCUAAGCGGGAAGCGAGCCCUGAGAUGAGUCAUCCCUGACCCCUUGAGGGUCCUAAAGGGCCGUUGGAGACCACAACGUUGAUAGGUGGGGUGUGUAAGCGUAGCGAUACGUUGAGCUAACCCAUACUAAUUACCCGUGAGGCUUAACCAU
rnacentral:rRNA from 1 species